AUGGAAGCUGUGAGGCACGUUGUGCUGACAAAGAACUAUGCUAAGCUAAUUGAUGAAGCAUGCAAGAGUGAUGACACAGCGAGAGUCGCAGAAAAACACAGGAAGGCACUGAAAAGAGAGCUUGAUGAGAUCAAAAAAAGGAAAGCCGAGGAAGCCUUACACCGGUUCCUCCGCACAUCAAGUGUGCCUUCAUCCACGGGGCCAUCGUCUGAAAACUCGGAGAUAGGAUCUGGAACAGCAAGCACACAAACCCAGGUCAGGAACCCACCCCGUUCCAUCACAAAGGGUCGUCCGAGAGGGAUAAGGUACAAGUUGGGACUGGAGAUUCAAGCAAAACACAAGAAAACGAAGAAAGGGGCGGGCAAUCCAUGA
rnacentral:rRNA from 1 species